UGCCCCGUGGCGCAAUGGUAGCGCAUCUGACUUUGGCUCAGAGGAUGCAGGUUCGAUUCCUGCCGGGGCAU
rnacentral:tRNA from 1 species